rnacentral:rRNA from 1 species
UACGGAGGCAGCAGUGAGGAAUAUUGGACAAUGGGCGAAAGCCUGAUCCAGCCAUGCCGCGUGUGUGAAGAAGGCCUUCGGGUUGUAAAGCACUUUAAGCGAGGAGGAAUGGCUCUAGGUUAAUACCCUUGAGCAGUGACGUUACUCGCAGAGUAAGCACCGGCUAACUACGUGCCAGCAGCCGCGGUAAUAA